rnacentral:rRNA from 1 species
UACGUAGGGUGCGAGCGUUAAUCGGAAUUACUGGGCGUAAAGCGUGCGCAGGCGGCUUCGCAAGUCAGACGUGAAAUCCCCGGGCUUAACCUGGGAAUGGCGUUUGAAACUACGGAGCUGGAGUAUGGCAGAGGGGGGUGGAAUUCCGACGUGUAGCGGUGAAAUGCGUAGAUAUGUGGAGGAACACCGAUGGCGAAGGCAGCCCCCUGGGCCAAUACUGACGCUCGAUGCACGAAAGCGUGGGGAGCAAACAGG